AGUGAACGCUGGCGGUAGGCCUAACACAUGCAAGUCGAACGGCAGCACAGUAAGAGCUUGCUCUUACGGGUGGCGAGUGGCGGACGGGUGAGGAAUACAUCGGAAUCUACUUUUUCGUGGGGGAUAACGUAGGGAAACUUACGCUAAUACCGCAUACGACCUACGGGUGAAAGCAGGGGAUCUUCGGACCUUGCGCGAUUGAAUGAGCCGAUGUCGGAUUAGCUAGUUGGCGAGGUAAAGGCCCACCAAGGCGACGAUCCGUAGCUGGUCUGAGAGGAUGAUCAGCCACACUGGAACUGAGACACGGUCCAGACUCCUACGGGAGGCAGCAGUGGGGAAUAUUGGACAACGGGCGCAAGCCUGAUCCAGCCAUACCGCGUGGGUGAAGAAGGCCUUCGGGUUGUAAAGCCCUUUUGUUGGGAAAGAAAAGCAGCAGGUUAAUACCCCGCUGUUCUGACGGUACCCAAAGAAUAAGCACCGGCUAACUUCGUG
rnacentral:rRNA from 1 species